AUUGAACGCUGGCGGCAUGCUUUACACAUGCAAGUCGAACGGUAACAGGCCUUCGGGUGCUGACGAGUGGCGAACGGGUGAGUAAUGCAUCGGAACGUACCCAGAGGUGGGGGAUAACGCAGCGAAAGCUGUGCUAAUACCGCAUGUGAUCUGAGGAUGAAAGCGGGGGACCGAGCAGCAAUGUUUGGCCUCGCGCCUUUGGAGCGGCCGAUGUCGGAUUAGCUAGUUGGUGGGGUAAAGGCCUACCAAGGCGACGAUCCGUAGCUGGUCUGAGAGGACGACCAGCCACAGUGGGACUGAGACACGGCCCAGACGCCGACGGGAGGCAGCAGUGGGGAAGUUUGGACAAUGGGCGCAAGCCUGAUCCAGCAAUGCCGCGUGCGGGAAGAAGGCCUUCGGGUUGUAAACCGCUUUUGGCAGGAACGAAACGGUGUCCGCUAAUACCGGGCGCUAAUGACGGUACCGGCAGAAUAAGCACCGGCUAACUACGU
rnacentral:rRNA from 1 species